AUUGAACGCUGGCGGCAUGCCUUACACAUGCAAGUCGAACGGCAGCACGGGAGCAAUCCUGGUGGCGAGUGGCGAACGGGUGAGUAAUAUAUCGGAACGUGCCCGGUCGUGGGGAUAACGUAGCGAAAGCUACGCUAAUACCGCAUACGAUCUACGGAUGAAAGCGGGGGAUCGCAAGACCUCGCGCGAUUGGAGCGGCCGAUAUCAGAUUAGGUAGUUGGUGAGGUAAAGGCUCACCAAGCCGACGAUCUGUAGCUGGUCUGAGAGGACGACCAGCCACACUGGGACUGAGACACGGCCCAGACUCCUACGGGAGGCAGCAGUGGGGAAUUUGGACAAUGGGCGCAAGCCUGAUCCAGCAAUGCCGCGUGCAGGAUGAAGGCCUCGGUUGUAACGUAGCUUUGUUACGGUAACG
rnacentral:rRNA from 1 species